AGCCUUGCUCCUGGUGAUAGGUUCCCCCGACGCGAGCGACGGAGGGGGAUUAAUAGGGAACACGGUGCGGCGGACCCCUCAGGGGACCUAAUCCGUGGCUGCCCCCGCAACUGUGAGCAGCGAGUCUUCGCCGACCGCACGCCACUGGCCCGUGACAAGGCUGGGAAGGCAACGGCGAUGGAUCACGACCUGCGAGCCAGGAGACCUGCCGUCACCGGAUGAGCCGA
rnacentral:ncRNA from 2 species